UGGGUAACCUGCCUCAAAGAGGGGAAUAGCCUCCCGAAAGGGAGAUUAAUACCGCAUAAUAUGUUUAAGUCGCAUGACCUUAACAUCAAAGGAUUUUCUUUUAGAAAUUCCACUUUGAGAUGGACCCGCGGCGCAUUAGCUAGUUGGUGAGGUAACGGCUCACCAAGGCAACGAUGCGUAGCCGACCUGAGAGGGUGAUCGGCCACAUUGGAACUGAGGCACGGCCCAGACUCCGUAGGGAGG
rnacentral:rRNA from 1 species